CACGAGGGUCUCACUGUCUUAAGAAAAUUUCCAGUGAAAUUGAAUUUGUAGUGAAGAUGCUACAUCCAAAUUGUUAGACAAGAAGUCCCCAUGGAACUUUACUGGAGACUUAUGAGGCUUAAAUUAAUUUAUUUCUUACAAAUAAAUAGUUUUAAAAUGUGGUGUUAACCUCUUGGGUAAACUAGGGUUAGAAAAGCUCACUCUUUUAUUUAAAGAAAGCCAACUCAAAGAAUUAUGUCUUUGGGAUUUGAUAAGUGGGACAGUUUGGUUGGGGCGACCGCCUUUAAAAAAGUAACGAAGGCGGGCUUAAGAUACAUAUUUAGUGAUGUCUGACUGCCAAGGGGGGAUCCUGAGCAGACACUUACUUUUUAGGUGGGUUUAAGUGACCCGUUAAUUUAGGGUGAAAUAGUUAACGAUAAACA
rnacentral:rRNA from 1 species